UACGAAGGGGACUAGCGUUGUUCGGAAUGACUGGGCGUAAAGGGCGCGUAGGCGGUGUAAUAAGUCAUGUGUGAAAGACCUGGGCUUAACCUAGGAGGUGCAAGUGAUACUGUUACGCUAGAGGAGAAGAGGGGAGAAUGGAAUUGCGCAUGGAGAGGUGAAAUUCGUAGAGAUGCGCAGGAACACCGGUGGCGAAGGCGAUUCUCUGGCUUCUAACUGACGCUAAGGCGCGAAAGCGUGGGGAGCAAACAGG
rnacentral:rRNA from 1 species